CCCUUAGAUGUCCUGGGCCGCACGCGCGCUACACUGAGUGUCUGAGAUUCGAGUCUGCCUGGUCCGGCAAGGUCUAGGUAAUCGCUAAAAGACACAUCAUGCUUGGGAUAGAUUAUUGCAAAUAUUAAUCUUGAACGAGGAAUUCCUAGUAAGCGCAAGUCAACAGCUUGCGUUGAUUACGUCCCUGCCCUUUGUACACACCGCCCGUCGCUACUACUGAUUGGAUGUUUAAGCGAGGUUCUCGAACUGCUAGCGACUUAGCUUCGGUGAGGUCGCAGUGUGGGAAGUGAACCUAGCUUUGGUGUCUAGAGGAAGUAAAAGUCGUAACA
rnacentral:rRNA from 1 species